GGGUGUUGGUGCCGCGCCGCGCCGCGCCUUGGUUCCCGGAGCAGCUCGGCAGGCAUCGCUCCUCGGUGCGGCUCUGGGAGCCACCGCGGCCGUCUGUGAGGGGGGGUGGCGGUGAGGAGAGGCGGCCCCGACGGGGCCGCGGUGCAACGCACGGCGCUGGGAGCGGCCCCGGAUACCGUCCAGGAAAGGAGCAUUUCCUUGUCUGCCCUGGUAAAUGGUUCUCCUACAGCCCCACGUGACGUGUCCUGUCUGCCAGCCAAGGAGGGCUGGCUGUGACAGCUUCAUGGCCCCUCAGCUCUGCUCCUCACAAUGAGCGUGAGCCUUGACAAGUCUGGAGGUCCAGCGGUGUCCAGCUGACUUGUGUGCUCUCUGGCAGUUGGGAACCAGCGCAGCGUCUGCCUGCAGCGUUUCCAGUGGUUGGAGGAGGACGAAAAGUGCACAGCCUCUGCUGCAUGAAGUUCAUGGCAGCAGAGAGGACUCGUUGGUGUCCGGACAAAGAGGGAAGAGGAAACCAAGCUGUAAAGAUGUGUGGAAAAGCAAGGAAUUAAUUACUGCUUGCACUGGUUGUUUGUCGCCUUACUGCCCUUCUUGCCUCCCUGGAGCCCAGCUGACUUCCUGGGAUUGCUGAACGGCUGCCUUUUGCCACCUCCUGCCUGUCGCAUCGAACACCAGGGCGAAUUGGGUGGCUCUACAUGUAACACUACAACAAACGUGAAAGACGAAGACCCAUCCCUGCGGAGCGGCACUACUCCCUCCACGUUCUCCAGAACCAUCGGCGCAACCUGGGCCUGGUGGGCGGCACAUCUUCCAGCACGCUGAGGAUCAGCAGUGUCUGCAGCACCAGACAGCGCACGGCCGGCUCGCUGUCCUCCUUGGCUCCCUCCAGGGCUGCAAUGGAGCGGUGCUGUGUCACCACGUGGGCCCCACACGGCACUUCCUGGGGCACGGGGCAGCGGGGGGGGAUGGCUCACCUUUACGGAUGUCCGACAUCUUCUCCCGGUUCUCAUUCCUCAGCUUUCGCCCUAGCAGCCCUGCGCACAUGGCUGCUGUCAGCGCUCACCCGUCCCCGCGGCGCCCAGGGACCUCACAGCAUCCCAUGGACCCCCACGGUGCUCCAAGGACCUCCAGAAACCCCAUACUACCCUAAUAGUGUCCCCAUCAUCCCCAGCAACCCUUCAGUGUCUCAGGGACCCUAUGGUGCCCCAGUGACCCCUGUGGUGCCCAGCUGCCCCCAAGGACCCCAGAGACCCAACACAAUGCUUCAGUGAACCCCAUAGUGCCCCAGUAAGCCUAGUGUUUCCUAAUAACUCCCAAGAACCCCACCAUUUCCCCAGUGACCUCCCAGGACCCCCCCUGUGCACCGACCCCACAGCAUUCAGCUGGAGGGAUGGGGACCCACUGGGGAUGGGACUCACCGAGGAAGCGCACGGCUGUGUCCCUCACGGGCACCUGGGGGCUGUGCAGGUGCAGCACCGUGUCCUUCAGGUACUGCUCCGCAUCUCUGCCCCUCUUCUGAAGCUGCAGAGAGCAUGGUGGGGGUGGCACCCGCAGAGUGGCUCCCCGACCCCCCUUCUGCAGGGCAGCAAGGGGGGUCCAGAGGGGUUGAGGGGUGGGGGUCCUUACCAGGCAGUCAGCAAUCAUCCAGACCUCCGCCGCACAGGCCAAGCGUUGCAGUUGCUGCCAGCCCAGGAGCUUGGUGGCGUGGAUCAGAGCUUUCUGAGCAGCCUGGGGGGCAGUGACACAGGGGGGUGUUGGUGGGAGAUCCUGGGGGAACCUCCAUCCCAAACCUGUGUCAGCACCAUAGCCGAUCCUGUCCCACAGGUUCUGGGGGAACGGGGUGGGGGAUGUGGGAGGGUUUUCCUAACCUUAAUGACUGUGUGGGUGGGUGUAGUGGAGGGGGGAACUGGGAGGACUGUAUGGGUGGAUAUGAGGUGGGGAUCUGGUAUCUAGGAGGACUGUACACGUGGGCACAGGGCAGGGAGUAGUUGCUGGUCACACCGGAUAACCUCACGACCCUGUGACCCCACAAGCUGCCCCCACCUGCGCCACGUUGGAGAUGUCCUCAUUCAUGUGGAUGAAGAGUGGCAGCAGACUCCUCUCCGCCUGCAGCAGCAGCCGCUUCCUGCCUGGUGCCUCCAGCAGCAGCGCAAAGAGCUCCAUGGAGCGCCAGCGCACCUCUGCGUUGUCCUGGGAGGAAACACACACGGGGUAGUGCUGAGCUCUGUGCACGGUGCGGGGGCUGCUUGAAUGCUCCCCGCUGCCCCGCGUCCCUCACCUCAUUGAAGCAGGACAGCAGCUGCACGGCCAGCUGGCUGAGCACACCUCGGAUGCUGGCGGGGUGCUGUGCCACAAUGUCCUGCAGCAGAUGUAUGGCCUGCAGUUUGAUGUCAGCCCGCAUGUCCUGCAGCCACAGCAGCGCGUCGGGUAGCAGCAGCUGCAUCCUCCCAGCAUAAAGGUUCCUCAGCCCGCGCAGCG
ensembl:lncRNA